CAGUCGAACGGUGAAGCCAAGCUUGCUUGGUGGAUCAGUGGCGAACGGGUGAGUAACACGUGAGCAACCUGCCCUGGACUCUGGGAUAAGCGCUGGAAACGGCGUCUAAUACUGGAUAUGAGACGUGAUCGCAUGGUCGUGUUUGGAAAGAUUUUUCGGUCUGGGAUGGGCUCGCGGCCUAUCAGCUUGUUGGUGAGGUAAUGGCUCACCAAGGCGUCGACGGGUAGCCGGCCUGAGAGGGUGACCGGCCACACUGGGACUGAGACACGGCCCAGACUCCUACGGGAGGCAGCAGUGGGGAAUAUUGCACAAUGGGCGAAAGCCUGAUGCAGCAACGCCGCGUGAGGGAUGACGGCCUUCGGGUUGUAAACCUCUUUUAGCAGGGAAGAAGCGAAAGUGACGGUACCUGCAGAAAAAGCGCCGGCUAACUACGUGCCAGCAGCCGCGGUAAUACGUAGGGCGCAAGCGUUAUCCGGAAUUAUUGGGCGUAAAGAGCUCGUAGGCGGUUUGUCGCGUCUGCUGUGAAAUCCCGAGGCUCAACCUCGGGCCUGCAGUGGGUACGGGCAGACUAGAGUGCGGUAGGGGAGAUUGGAAUUCCUGGUGUAGCGGUGGAAUGCGCAGAUAUCAGGAGGAACACCGAUGGCGAAGGCAGAUCUCUGGGCCGUAACUGACGCUGAGGAGCGAAAGGGUGGGGAGCAAACAGGCUUAGAUACCCUGGUAGUCCACCCCGUAAACGUUGGGAACUAGUUGUGGGGACCAUUCCACGGUUUCCGUGACGCAGCUAACGCAUUAAGUUCCCCGCCUGGGGAGUACGGCCGCAAGGCUAAAACUCAAAGGAAUUGACGGGGACCCGCACAAGCGGCGGAGCAUGCGGAUUAAUUCGAUGCAACGCGAAGAACCUUACCAAGGCUUGACAUAUACGAGAACGGGCCAGAAAUGGUCAACUCUUUGGACACUCGUAAACAGGUGGUGCAUGGUUGUCGUCAGCUCGUGUCGUGAGAUGUUGGGUUAAGUCCCGCAACGAGCGCAACCCUCGUUCUAUGUUGCCAGCACGUAAUGGUGGGAACUCAUGGGAUACUGCCGGGGUCAACUCGGAGGAAGGUGGGGAUGACGUCAAAUCAUCAUGCCCCUUAUGUCUUGGGCUUCACGCAUGCUACAAUGGCCGGUACAAAGGGCUGCAAUACCGUGAGGUGGAGCGAAUCCCAAAAAGCCGGUCCCAGUUCGGAUUGAGGUCUGCAACUCGACCUCAUGAAGUCGGAGUCG
rnacentral:rRNA from 1 species